rnacentral:rRNA from 1 species
GACGAACGCUGGCGGCGUGCUUAACACAUGCAAGUCGAACGGAAAGGCCCUGCUUUCGUGGGGUGCUCGAGUGGCGAACGGGUGCGUAACACGUGAGUAACCUGCUCUAGACUUUGGGAUAACUUCAGGAAACUGGGGCUAAUAUCGGAUAGGAGCUCCUGCUGCAUGGUGGGGGUUGGAAAGUCUCGGCGGUCGGGGAUGGACGCGCGGCUUAUGAGCUUGUUGGUGGGGUAGUGGCUUACCCAGGCUUUGACGGGUAGGCGGCCUGUGAGGGUGACCGGCCACAUGGGGACUGAGAUAGGGACCAGACGCCUACGGGAGGCAGCAGGGGGGAAUAUUGCACAAUGGGAGGAAGCCUGAUGCAGCGGCGCCGCGUGCGGGAUGACGGCCUGCGGGUUGUAAACCGCUUUCGCCUGUGACGAAGCGUGAGUGACGGUAAUGGGUAAAGAAGCACCGGCUAACUACGUG